rnacentral:rRNA from 1 species
CCUACGGGUGGCUGCAGUGGGGAAUAUUGCACAAUGGGGGAAUCCCUGAUGCAGCGACGCCGCGUGAAGGAAGAAGGUCUUCGGAUCGUAAACUUCUAUCAGCAGGGAAGAAGGAAGUGACGGUACCUGACUAAGAAGCCCCGGCUAACUACGUGCCAGCAGCCGCGGUAAUACGUAGGGGGCAAGCGUUAUCCGGAAUCACUGGGUGUAAAGGGUGCGUAGGCGGUAGGGCAAGUCAGAUGUGAAAGCCCGGAGCUCAACUCCGGGAUUGCAUUUGAAACUGUCUUACUAGAGUGCAGGAGAGGAAAGCGGAAUUCCUAGUGUAGCGGUUAAAUGCGUAGAUAUUAGGAAGAACACCAGUUGCGAAGGCGGCUCUCUGGACUGUAACUGACUCUGAGGCACGAAUGCGUGGGGAGCGAACAGGAUUAGAUACCCUUGUAGUC